CAAAGGUAGCAUAAUCAUUAGGUUUUUAAUUGGAAUCUGGAAUGAAGGGUUGGACAAAGGAGAGACUGUCUUUAGAAUAAAGAUUGAAUUUUACUUUUGAGUGAAAAGGCUUAAAUAUCUUAAAGGGACGAUAAGACCCUAUGAAGCUUUAUAAGGUUUUUAAUUUGAUUGAUUUAAAAUACAUUAAAAAUUGAGUUAGAUUGUUUUAUUUUAUUGGGGUGAUUUGAGUAUAAUUAAUUUAACUGCUUAUAAGAUAUACAACUAUAAGUGAGUAGUAUGUAAAUGAUCCUGUUUAUAGAUUGAAAAUAUAAGUUACUCUAGGGAUAACAGCGUUAUUUCUUUUAAGAGUUCUUAUCGAAAAAGAAGUUUGCGACCUCGAUGUUGAAUCAAAAUUUCUCUAUAGUGCAGCCGCUAUAGAAGAGGGUCUGUUCGACCUUUAAAUUUUUACAUGAUUUGAGUUCA
rnacentral:rRNA from 1 species